rnacentral:rRNA from 1 species
GCCUGUUUAUCAAAAACAUAUCUGGGAGAAAUAUGUUUUUGGUGUAACCUGCUCAAUGCUUUAGUAAAUAGCUGCAGUAUUUUGACUGUACAAAGGUAGCAUAAUCAAUAGUCUUUUGAUUGAAGGCUUGAAUGAAUGGUUGAACAGAAUAUUAUCUUUUUUAUUAAUAUGAUAUUUUAAUUUAUCGUUUAUGUAAAAAUGCAUAUAUAAUUGAAAGGGACGAUAAGACCCUAUAGAAUUUAAAAAUAAAAUAUGGGAUAUUCUCUUUUUUUGUUGGGGUGAUAAUGAAUAAACGUUUAUAAAAUUUUCAUUAAUAAAUGAUUAAAUGAUCCUAUUAAUUUAGAUAUAAAGAUAAAAUUACCUUAGGGAUAACAGCAUAAUUUUUUUUAAAAGAUCAUAUUAAUAAAAAAGAUUAUGACCUCGAUGUUGAAUUAAAAUACAAAUUUGGUGUAGAAGCUGAAUUUUUUAGUCUGUUCGACUUUAUAUUUUACAUGAUCUGAGUUCAGACCGG